rnacentral:rRNA from 1 species
GAGUAACGCGUGGGUAACCUGCCCUGUACACACGGAUAACAUACCGAAAGGUAUGCUAAUACGAGAUAAUAUACUUUUAUCGCAUGGUAGAAGUAUCAAAGCUCCGGCGGUACAGGAUGGACCCGCGUCUGAUUAGCUAGUUGGUAAGGUAACGGCUUACCAAGGCGACGAUCAGUAGCCGACCUGAGAGGGUGAUCGGCCACAUUGGAACUGAGACACGGUCCAAACUCCUACGGGAGGCAGCAGUGGGGAAUAUUGCACAAUGGGCGAAAGCCUGAUGCAGCAACGCCGCGUGAGCGAUGAAGGCCUUCGGGUCGUAAAGCUCUGUCCUCAAGGAAGAUAAUGACGGUACUUGAGGAGGAAGCCCCGGCUAACUACGUGCCAGCAGCCGCGGUAAUACGUAGGGGGCUAGCGUUAUCCGGAAUUACUGGGCGUAAAGGGUGCGUAGGUGGUUUCUUAAGUCAGAGGUGAAAGGCUACGGCUCAACCGUAGUAAGCCUUUGAAACUGGGAAACUUGAGUGCAGGAGAGGAGAGUGGAAUUCCUAGUGUAGCGGUGAAAUGCGUAGAUAUUAGGAGGAACACCAGUUGCGAAGGCGGCUCUCUGGACUGUAACUGACACUGAGGCACGAAAGCGUGGGGAGCAAACAGGAUUAGAUACCCUGGUAGUCCACGCCGUAAACGAUGAGUACUAGCUGUCGGAGGUAUCGACCCCUUCGGUGGCGCAG